CCCUACGGGGUGCACCAGGCCCUGCGAAUUCAACUGCAGGCGCCAGCGGGUGGAUGUGGGGAUCGCCAUCCGCGCCCUCAAGCGCUAUGCGGCGGACAGGGAACUGGAGACGCAUGCGGAGCCGCCCCUGCAGGCAGGACCGGCCAAGGAUCGGAAGGUGGCCAUUGUCGGCGCCGGUCCCGCCGGGCUUGCGUGUGCCUAUCACCUGGGACUGGCCGGCUACCGUUCCACCGUUUUUGAGGUCCUGGACGAACCGGGCGGCAUGGCCGCCGUGGGAAUUCCCCAUUACAGGCUCCCGCGUUCCAUCCUGAGUGGCGAAGCGUCUCACGUGGAAAAGCGGGGAGCCGAAAUCCGCUAUGGUGUCCGGGUGGGAGUCGUUAUAACGGUGGAAGACUUGAUGCGGGAGGGC
rnacentral:rRNA from 1 species